CAUUAAGUGACUGAAAAGCAAGUAAUGGUCUCUUAAACCAAUUAAUAGUAAAAUAGCAAAUACUCUUAAUGU
rnacentral:tRNA from 1 species